GCAGUCGAAGGUCCCCGGCUCCGGGGGCCUGGCAGACGGCUCAGUAACACGUGGCCAACCUGCCCUCGGGAGGGGGAUAACCCCGGGAAACUGGGGUAAAACCCCCAUAGGUGGCGGGCUCUGGAAGGACCCGCCGCUGAAAGUGGUGUACGGGGAUGCUCCGUACACCAGCCCGAGGAUGGGGCUGCGGCCCAUCAGGUUGUUGGCGGGGUAACGGCCCGCCAAGCCUAUAACGGGUACGGGCCCUGGGAGGGGGAGCCCGGAGAUGGGCUCUGAGACAAGAGCCCAGGCCCUACGGGGCGCAGCAGGCGCGAAACCUCCCCAAUGCCCGAAAGGGUGAGGGGGCCACCCCGAGUGCCGGCCUCGUGCCGGCUUUUGCCGGGUCUAAACAGCCCGGCGAAUAAGGGGGGGGCAAGACGGGUGUCAGCCGCCGCGGUAAUACCCGCCCCCCGAGUGGUGGGGACUAUUACUGGGCUUAAAGCGCCCGUAGCCGGCCGGGUGUGUCCUCCGUUAAAUCCACGGGCCUAACCCGUGGGCUGCGGAGGAUACUACCCGGCUUGGGGGUGGGAGAGGG
rnacentral:rRNA from 1 species